CUACGGGAGGCAGCAGUGAGGAAUAUUGGUCAAUGGACGAGAGUCUGAACCAGCCAAGUAGCGUGAAGGAUGAAGGUUCUAUGGAUUGUAAACUUCUUUUAUACGGGAAUAAACGAAUCCACGCGUGGAUUUUUGCAUGUACCGUAUGAAUAAGGAUCGGCUAACUCCGUGCCAGCAGCCGCGGUAAUACGGAGGAUCCGAGCGUUAUCCGGAUUUAUUGGGUUUAAAGGGAGCGUAGAUGGGUUGUUAAGUCAGUUGUGAAAGUUUGCGGCUCAACCGUAAAAUUGCAAUUGAUACUGGCAGUCUUGAGUACAGUUGAGGUAGGCGGAAUUCGUGGUGUAGCGGUGAAAUGCUUAGAUAUCACGAAGAACUCCGAUUGCGAAGGCAGCUUACUAACCUGUAACUGACAUUGAUGCUCGAAAGUGUGGGUAUCAAACAGGAUUAGAUACCCUGGUAGUCCACACGGUAAACGAUGAAUACUCGCUGUAGGCGAUAUACGGUCUGCGGCCAAGCGAAAGCAUUAAGUAUUCCACCUGGGGAGUACGCCGGCAACGGUGAAACUCAAAGGAAUUGACGGGGGCCCGCACAAGCGGAGGAACAUGUGGUUUAAUUCGAUGAUACGCGAGGAACCUUACCCGGGCUUAAAUUGCAAAGGAAUAAUCUGGAAACAGGUUAGUCUUCGGACCUUUGUGAAGGUGCUGCAUGGUUGUCGUCAGCUCGUGCCGUGAGGUGUCGGCUUAAGUGCCAUAACGAGCGCAACCCUUGCCGAUAGUUACUAACAGGUUAUGCUGAGGACUCUGUCGGGACUGCCAUCGUAAGAUGUGAGGAAGGUGGGGAUGACGUCAAAUCAGCACGGCCCUUACGUCCGGGGCUACACACGUGUUACAAUGGGGGGUACAGAGGGCCGCUACCACGCGAGUGGAUGCCAAUCCCAAAAACCUCUCUCAGUUCGGACUGGAGUCUGCAACCCGACUCCACGAAGCUGGAUUCGCUAGUAAUCGCGCAUCAGCCACGGCGCGGUGAAUACGUUCCCGGGCCUUGUACACACCGCCCGUCAAGCCAUGGGAGCCGGGGGUACCUGAAGUGCGUAACCGCAAGGAGCGCCCUAGGGUAAAACUGGUGACUGGGGCUAAGUCGUAACAAGGUAGCCGUACCGGAAGGUGCGGCUG
rnacentral:rRNA from 1 species